rnacentral:ncRNA from 1 species
CAACUCCAGCUUAGGCGAGAACACCCGCUAAGUUUAAGCAUAUAAUUAAGAGGAAGAAAAGAAACUUACAAGGUUUCCCCUAGUAACAGCGAGCGAACCGGGAAGAGCCCAGCAUGAAAAUUGGGUGGCAGUGCUGCCUGAAUUAUAGUCUGUAUAAGAAUCCUUAGUGGAAGACUGAGACCAAGUCCCCUAGAAGGGGGCGCCUAAGAGGGUUAUAGCCCCAUCGGGCCAGGACCCUCCUACACCACGAGGCAUUGCUGGCAAGUUGGGUUGUUUGGGAAUGCAACUGUAAUCGAGUGGUAAAUUCUGUCCAAAGGUAAAUACAUGUGAGAUAUUGAUAGAGAAUAAGUAUCAUGAGGGAAAGAUGAAAAGGAAUUUUAAAAUAGAGUUAAAGAGUGCUUGAAAUUUCCAGGAGGGAAGCAGAUGGAGGUCAGUGAUGCGUCUUGGUCGGAUGUGAAACGACUCAAGCUGGUUCACCACUUGAAUCGAGGUGCAAACCGACACAUGUGGUUGCAUCGAAACAAGCGCGGGUGGAGUACUUCCUAUUGGUUUGUCGUUGUGGCAGUAGAGGAGUGGAGAAAUCAAGAGAUUCCACCAACACUCAUUUAAAUUUAUUUUUAAUCGCUUGCCAAUACUUCUUUUAGUUUUUUGAUAUUGAGUUCACACAUGAGGUAGUUUAUAUCUAUGAGGAUUUAGGAUCAAUUUUUCAAGCCUGAAUUUGAUGUGUAAAUAUUUAUUAAGGUAUUGGAUCCCUUAAUGACUCCUUAGUAUUAUUGACAAGUUGAAUAAGUUUUGAAAUAACCAAGCAACCACGUAGGAAACUCAAUGUUGCAUAGAAUAAGAGUUUUAUUUUUUUUCUGAGUUUAAAAUUUAGUAAUUGAACCUUCAUCAUUGAAGUAAGAAAUGAAAUGCGUCAAUUCUUUUGUAUAUUUGGAUGAUUUAGCCAAGAAAUCACUUAUUCAGUGAGGUUACUCGUUGUCCAAACCAACUGCUUGAGGUUAUUGACCCUUGCACUCAACAAAUUUCCUCCUUGGGGUAAAUCACUCACUUGUCCUUAUGACCUCUCUUGGGCCUUGUGCACUAGUUGGGGUCUUUUCUAGGUUGAGGAGCCUCCCUUGGGUCCACAAACUUCCCUAAUCCAUUAGGGCUCACUUGUCAUGCCCAAGGGGUAAGUUAAAGUCAACAUGGGUAGUCAUAAUUACAACAUUUACUAAAACAACCUAACACGAUAGAAAGUUAUAUAUAGUUCCUAUUGAUUCACAUUGUAUACCAUCAAAGGUCUGUGAAUUGGUCAAGGUGGAAUGAGAAUGGGAGAACCAAAGUGUUUUGAUAUAUGAACUAUCUCCAGGAUAUAAGGACUCAUUUUGAAAAUGAGACAUAGUUGAAUGUUGCUAAGUCUUAAAUAACUAGAACAUAGGAGUUGGAAUGUUAUAAGGAAAAUUGAAUCUAAAAAAGAUUGAAUGACAUCACUGAUCUUGUGAGUGAUAGAGACAAACACCUAAUUACUUUAAGUUU